AGUCACUGACAUUAGAUACCCGCGUAGUCCCAGCCGUAAACAAUGUGCGUUAGGUGUGUCGGUAACCACGCGUUACUGAUGCGCCGAAGAGAAAUCGUGAAACGCACCACCUGGGAAGUACGGUCGCAAGGCUGAAACUUAAAGGAAUUGGCGGGGAGCACCGCAACAGGUGGAGCCUGCGGUUUAAUUGGAUUCAACGCCGGACAUCUCACCGGAUAAGACAGCUGAAUGAUUGUCAAUCUGAAGGUUUUACAUGACUAGCUG
rnacentral:rRNA from 1 species